rnacentral:lncRNA from 1 species
UAUGGUCAUUCAUCGAAAGUUUUCUAUAAGGACCUGCAGUUGUCAACAAGGAAAGGGAGGUGAUAUUCUAAAGUGGGAAACAAAAAUACAUCUGACUCUGCAGACUUCAACCUUAUGUCCUGAAUUUUGGAAUGUAUAAUUAACCCCACUGAUUCAUUUCUGGGAAAGGCAUCCAGUUGGAAAACAGGAAAUCCUAUAUGGAGAGUAUGGGACUAAAAACUCUUUUUGAAACAGCAAGUGAAGCUGUACUCAAAUGCAAAGUUUCACUUGAGGAAUACAACUUUGUUUCCUGGUCUAUUGGAAAGGAGACUCUAUGGAUCAUAUGGAGCACGCCUCUAAAAUGUGAAGACAGGGAUCACUCAGCCUUCAUUUUGUAUAAUAAAGUAUAA